CCUAACACAUGCAAGUCGAGCGGAAACGACACUAACAAUCCUUCGGGUGCGUUAAUGGGCGUCGAGCGGCGGACGGGUGAGUAAUGCCUAGGAAAUUGCCUUGAUGUGGGGGAUAACCAUUGGAAACGAUGGCUAAUACCGCAUGAUGCCUACGGGCCAAAGAGGGGGACCUUCGGGCCUCUCGCGUCAAGAUAUGCCUAGGUGGGAUUAGCUAGUUGGUGAGGUAAUGGCUCACCAAGGCGACGAUCCCUAGCUGGUCUGAGAGGAUGAUCAGCCACACUGGAACUGAGACACGGUCCAGACUCCUACGGGAGGCAGCAGUGGGGAAUAUUGCACAAUGGGCGAAAGCCUGAUGCAGCCAUGCCGCGUGUAUGAAGAAGGCCUUCGGGUUGUAAAGUACUUUCAGUUGUGAGGAAGGGUGUGUAGUUAAUAGCUGCGCAUCUUGACGUUAGCAACAGAAGAAGCACCGGCUAACUCCGUGCCAGCAGCCGCGGUAAUAC
rnacentral:rRNA from 1 species